ACCCUAACUAAGACAGUGCCUCUACCCGUUUUCCCCAUGAGCUUUGGAGACUGCAGAUGGGCAGUCCUCUGGACCCUUACGAUCCCAUUUCAGGAAGUAUAUAACACGUCUAGGGAAGCUAGUUUGAGUUAUAGGGUAUUGGCCAAAGGAGUGGAGUACCACCAGUGGAGGUGUUUGUCAGAAAAAGCAGGAGCGGGAAGGACUCUUGCCUUGGAGUCAUGCUGUCCACAGUGGAUUCAGAGGCUGUGACUCACUAAGGAAAAGGAGUGCCCUGUGUCCUAGGAGAGGCUGCUUCUCUCCAAAUAAGAAUUCUUUGGCUGAGGAAGGAAAUGAGGCAAUCUAAGAUUAAUCAGCGGCCACCAGUCGGACAGAGCUAGAAGUCCAAGCCAUAGCCAGCUACUUCUGGUUAACAUUCACCCUUUACCCACAAGGCACCCAGGACACCAACAUGCUGAGUUCUAGUGAGAAAGGGAAUGAGCCCCUCCUUGGGUUCAAGCAUCCUUUCUCUGUGAUCCUAGACCUCAGAUCUAGCAGAGCCUCAAAUUACAAGGAUGUGAAGACUGGCAUGGCCAUCGUGUGAGAAAGCUCACCCGCACCUAAUCCUCUCACUUUAGUCUGUGAUGUGUGCACUCUGGCUGUUGGUGGAAGGCAUAGCUUGCAGCCCUGGAAGGAGAGUAUCCUAAAUGUUUUGUCCAGGGUGGUGCAAAAGUUUAUGCAUGGCCAUUCCAAAAUUUGAGCUGGAUAGCUGCUCCAGUUGGAGUGACAGAUGAGAUAGAACCAGUGGGUCUGUUUUUAGCUACCCGCUAUUAAAUCUCAUCCAUAAUCAAAGAACUCUUAUUGGCCGGGCAGUGGUGGCGCUCACUUUUAAUCCCAGCACUUCGGAAGCAGAGACAGACCUAUUUGUGAGUUCCAGGCCAGCCUGAUUUACAAAGCAAGUUCCAGGACAGGCUCCAAAGCUACAGAUAACCCUUAUUUCGAGUUGAUACAAGGGCCCAUGUUAGAAACCUCAUUGGAUAAAUCAAGCAUUCUGUAAGCCUUCACAGAAGAACCAGAAGAGACAUCAUAGGCAAUGACGUCUACUAUGGAGAAGAUGUCAAUUUUAGUGUGAAGCAUUGUCCUUCCCUUGAUAGAAGAGGCCAAUAUAAUCAAUCUGUCACCAAGAGACUGACUAAAAGCCUCAUGGGAGUUCUAAAAGACAGAAGCUAACUGGUGUCUGUCAGGGAGUCCUCCUGUCCACAUGGCUGUUUACUGCAUCUUUUGAGGUGAAUGCCCUCUGGUAAGCAAUGACUUGAGACACAAAGAUACCACAUCUUGUGCCAAGGCACAUAAGUUCAUCCAAGUACUUCUCACUCAGGCCUCUUUGUCCCCAGAUUCCCUAUCCUGCUCUUUGCAUGUGUUUUUGAUGCACUAUAACUGGAGAUAGAGUCAUCCAGAGGUCCAGGUGAGGAAGGCAGGACCCCUGGGAUGGUGCUAUCAGGAGUAAUGGGAUCUCUAAAAGCAGAUGCCUAGUGGGUGGUCACUAUGGCCAUAAUAUUCUGACUCUCUGAAGUUCCUGAGAAAGUUGCCAUGAAAGAAGCAAGUGUGCUCCCCCACUCCAUGCUCCCCUACUGCAGGCACAAGUUUGCAAUCACUUGUUCCUUCAUGCUCCCCACCAUCUGCCGUUCCUCAGAAAUGACCCUAUGAAAGCCUUGAACCUCUAAGACAUAAGCCAAAAACCUCCUUGCUUUCCUUGUUUUGUUUUUGUUGUUAUUGUUGUUGUUUGUUUGUUUUUCAAGACAGGAUUGUCCUGGAACUCACUCUGUGGACCAGACUGGCCUCAAACCCAGAUAUCUACCUGCCUCUGCCUCUUGAGUGCUGGAAUUAAAGCUCACCCCAAGGCACAAGAUUUUUCCUCCAUCAGUUUAUCAUACAAAGGCGAUGGCAUGAUCUGAGAAACUGACUCUGAUACAGCAGAGGAGGAAGACACUGGGAUCCUGGCCAUGUGUUCACUUAAUUGCCUUGUGUUCUUUGGAUCUACUCCCAGUAACCUUCCAUCAUACUUGAAAGGCAGCUCCAGCUUCAAAGUCAUUUGAUGUCUCAUGGUCAAUUCCACAAUGUCCUUUAAAUGACUCUUCUUCCAAUGAGUAGCUAAGGGUAAUUCAUUACAAAAGGAAUACCCUUGCACUAGGUUUCCAUGGCUCUGUCCUGAAAUUCUAAUAGCAAACCUUCAAUAGACUCCACACGGCAGGCAUCUUUAUCUACCAUGAAUAACCUUCCUGCACACAGGGCAUUUUGGCCCACAGCAUCGAUCUGCUACAAAGUCUCUCCUUGAUAUGUAUUUGAACCACAAAAUGGAUGAAUCAAUGGUGUACAAUGCUAUGUGUUUUUCUCAGAAACAAGGGAUAGUUGGGAUACAGUAUCCUAUCUCAGACCAGUGGAUCCUCACAAUAUUUUCAUCUCUAUGACAGAGCUCUAAAUUUUAGGGGAAGGGAGAUUUCUCUCUCAUCUACCUUAUAUUUUGUUCUGAUCCAAUUAGUAUUAUGCACUGUAGAAUGACAGCAUGAUCAAGGACCCUGUGGCUAUAUUGUGACAGAAUUAGCACCACCCACCUGGGCAAGGCAAGAAAUCUACAUUGCUGUUUUCCCCAUUCAUGAACAAAAUAACUUUGAAUUUCCUUACUGAUAAGGACUUAAUUUAGGGGUGGGCGAGGGUUGACACAGGUCUCUAUAUAACCUUGGCUGGUCUGGAACUCACUCUAUAGAACAGGCUGGCCUUGAACUCACAGAGAUCCACUGGCCUCUGCCUCCUGAGUACUAGAAUUAAAGGUGUGUGCCACCUGAGCUGGGUGGUGGUUGUGGCGAUGGCAUCGGUGGAGGCAGCAGCACAUGCCCUUAAUCCCCGUACUCAAGAGGCAGAGGCAGCCUGGUCUAUAGAGUGAGUUCCAGGAUGGCUAUGGCUGUUACACAGAGAAACCCUGUCUCGAAACACCAUUUAAAAAAAAAAAGCAGGGAGGUGGGGGGUGGGGUGGGCGUGUGUCAUCAUACCUAGCCCUUGAUGAGAACUUAAAAGACUGUACUCACUAGUGCAGUGCUGCACACCAAGUGUCAAACGCUUUAUUGGUCUGCUUUGGUAGAGAUUGUCCCAGGUGCAUUUGGAGCUAUGGCUUGGCUAAACCAAUGGAAAGCCACUGUCAUCCAGUCUGUAGUUCCCUGUACCAAUGAACCCAGUGGGCAUGUGAUAGGAAAUGCCAUUGUUGUGCCUUUAGUCUUCGGUGUGAAGGGACCAGCUCCCCUUUCGGCAGCAAUAACAGCCGAACACAUGCUUGCCAUAAACUUGCCUUGGUCACUUAGAGGUCAGAUGCCUGCCUUGUGACAAGGAACCAAUCAGAAGUUA